rnacentral:rRNA from 1 species
CCUACGGGAGGCAGCAGUGGGGAAUUUUGGACAAUGGGCGCAAGCCUGAUCCAGCAAUGCCGCGUGAGUGAAGAAGGCCUUCGGGUUGUAAAGCUCUUUUGUCAGGGAAGAAACGGUGGUUCCUAAUACGGACUACUAAUGACGGUACCUGAAGAAUAAGCACCGGCUAACUACGUGCCAGCAGCCGCGGUAAUACGUAGGGUGCAAGCGUUAAUCGGAAUUACUGGGCGUAAAGCGUGCGCAGGCGGUUAUAUAAGUCAGAUGUGAAAUCCCCGGGCUCAACCUGGGAACUGCAUUUGAGACUGUAUGGCUAGAGUGUGUCAGAGGGGGGUAGAAUUCCACGUGUAGCAGUGAAAUGCGUAGAUAUGUGGAGGAAUACCGAUGGCGAAGGCAGCCCCCUGGGAUAACACUGACGCUCAUGCACGAACGACGGUGGGGUAGGACGAACAGGAGUUAGUAUACCCUACGGUAGUACCGACCGACCCGUAAACCGAACUAGUCUACUACGUUGUUCGGGUACGUUAAUUAGUUCGUUGGUUACGUCGAGCGUACGCGUGUAGUAGACCGCCGUCGGGUAAGGUACGGUCGUUCGAGUAAGUUAAACGUUAAAGUAAGUUAGUUAGGCGUGAGAGNGCGACGGACGACGACGAGGGAGGAGG